GAUGAACGAGGGAGGGGGGAAGAAUAGAGACAAGUCGAGCGACCAGACGAGGAGCUUGCUCCUCUGACGUUAGCGGCGGACGGGUGAGUAACACGUGGAUAACCUACCUAUAAGACUGGGAUAACUUCGGGAAACCGGAGCUAAUACCGGAUAAUAUAUUGAACCGCAUGGUUCAAUAGUGAAAGACGGUUUUGCUGUCACUUAUAGAUGGAUCCGCGCCGCAUUAGCUAGUUGGUAAGGUAACGGCUUACCAAGGCAACGAUGCGUAGCCGACCUGAGAGGGUGCACAGCCACACUGGAACUGAGACACGGUCCAGACUCCUACGGGAGGCAGCAGUAGGGAAUCUUCCGCAAUGGGCGAAAGCUUGACGGAGCAACGCCGCGUGAGUGAUGAAGGUCUUCGGAUCGUAAAACUCUGUUAUUAGGGAAGAACAAAUGUGUAAGUAACUAUGCACGUCUUGACGGUACCUAAUCAGAAAGCCACGGCUAACUACGUG
rnacentral:rRNA from 1 species